rnacentral:rRNA from 1 species
GUGGGGAAUAUUGGACAAUGGGCGAAAGCCUGAUCCAGCAAUGCCGCGUGAGUGAUGAAGGCCUUAGGGUUGUAAAGCUCUUUUACCCGGGAUGAUAAUGACAGUACCGGGAGAAUAAGCUCCGGCUAACUCCGUGCCAGCAGCCGCGGUAAUACGGAGGGAGCUAGCGUUGUUCGGAAUUACUGGGCGUAAAGCGCACGUAGGCGGCUUUGUAAGUUAGAGGUGAAUGCCUGGAGCUUAACUCCAGAACUGCCUUUAAGACUGCAUCGCUUGAAUCCAGGAGAGGUGAGUGGAAUUCCGAGUGUAGAGGUGAAAUUCGUAGAUAUUCGGAAGAACACCAGUGGCGAAGGCGACUCACUGGCCCGUUACUGACGCUGAGGCGCGAAAGCGUGGGGAGCAAACAGGAUUAGAAACCCUUGUAGUCC